GACUCGGUUGGUUGGUCUGCCAUUGGUAUGCACUUAUCGACUGAGUCUUUCCUUCUGGCGAACUAUUUUGCUAUUCAUUUAGUGGGAUGGGGAACCAGGACUUUUACUUUGAAAAAAUUAGAGUGUUUAAAGCAGGCGUUCGCUUGAAUACAUUAGCAUGGAAUAAUGGAAUAGGACCCU
rnacentral:rRNA from 1 species